rnacentral:rRNA from 1 species
UACGUAGGGUGCAAGCGUUGUCCGGAAUUAUUGGGCGUAAAGAGCGCGUAGGCGGCUAGGUAGGUCCGUUGUGAAAACUCGAGGCUCAACCUCGAGACGUCGAUGGAAACCAUCUAGCUAGAGUCCGGAAGAGGAGAGUGGAAUUCCUGGUGUAGCGGUGAAAUGCGCAGAUAUCAGGAAGAACACCCGUGGCGAAGGCGGCUCUCUGGGCCGAAACUGACGCUGAGGAGCGAAAGCGUGGGGAGCGAACAGG